UACGUAGGGGGGCUAGCGUUGUCCGGAAUCAUUGGGCGUAAAGAGCGUGUAGGCGGUCCGGUAAGUCCGCUGUGAAAGUCGGGGGGCUCAACCCUCGAAUGCCGGUGGAUACUGUCGGGCUAGAGUGCGGAAGAGGCGAGUGGAAUUCCUGGUGUAGCGGUGAAAUGCGCAGAUAUCGGGAGGAACACCAAUGGCGAAGGCAGCUCGCUGGGACGGUACUGACGCUGAGACGCGAAAGCGUGGGGAGCAAACAGG
rnacentral:rRNA from 1 species